rnacentral:ncRNA from 23 species
UUUAAUACUGUAUCCAGGUGACCCUUUAAAGAGGGUAGAAUAGGGAAGAGGGUGAAACCCCCUCACGGACCCGCCACUGUAAACGAAGACGAAAUCUGCACCUAUGCCACUGCCCCCA